rnacentral:rRNA from 1 species
AACGAACGCUGGCGGCAGGCUUAACACAUGCAAGUCGAACGCCCCGCAAGGGGAGUGGCAGACGGGUGAGUAACGCGUGGGAACAUACCCUUUCCUGCGGAAUAGCUCUGGGAAACUAGAAUUAAUACCGCAUACGCCCUACGGGGGAAAGAUUUAUCGGGGAAGGAUUGGCCCGCGUUGGAUUAGCUAGUUGGUGGGGUAAAGGCCUACCAAGGCGACGAUCCAUAGCUGGUCUGAGAGGAUGAUCAGCCACAUUGGGACUGAGACACGGCCCAAACUCCUACGGGAGGCAGCAGUGGGGAAUCUUGCGCAAUGGGCGAAAGCCUGACGCAGCCAUGCCGCGUGAAUGAUGAAGGUCUUAGGAUUGUAAAAUUCUUUCACCGGGGACGAUAAUGACGGUACCCGGAGAAGAAGCCCCGGCUAACUUCGUGCCAGCAGCCGCAGUAACAC